rnacentral:tRNA from 1 species
GGGGCGAUUCCCGAGUGGCCAAAGGGGGCAGACUGUAAAUCUGUUGGCACAGCCUUCGGUGGUUCGAAUCCACCUCGCCCCACCA